UAAAAGCGUUUGAAACAUUAUUGUCCAACAUAUACAUGCUUUUAUUAUACCACCACUUCCCUUGGUAUAUAAAUAUAAAAUUUCUAGCUCGUUCAAGUUAUUUUGUUCUUUAUUCCGUUUGGAAUUAUCACUCAGGGCUUUCAACAAAUCGAAUAACAAUGACAACUCUGAUGGAGCAAGUGUUGGUCCUGGUUGUGGCUUUGAUGACUAUAUUCUUCCUGUCGGUAUCGGCACAGUCAGCAGAUGAUGUAUACAGAUGGAGCGCCGAUGAUUAUAACCAAAACCAAAAUAACAACUGGCAAUGGGGCAACUGAUAUUUCUGUCGAGGAUGAGAAAGAAUUGCAUAUUACAACAAAAAAAAAUCUACACCAAUAUAACAUUAUUAAACUAUUCAUCGAUAUUUUGUGUAUCAUAUUAUAUAUUAUGACAAAAUUAUUCAUUUUUUUAUUUUAAAUGACAAAAAGCCAAAAGAUAUUUCAGAUGGUAGUGGUUCAAUUAAACGUGGCAUUAUGUGAGUUGUUUUAAGUAAAGCAUAAAGAUUUGAAAGAUUUCGUAAAAACAACAAACAGUUGCAAAUACUCAUACCGUACACAGUAACAUAUACAAAAUGUUCUUUUUUGAACUAUUUUUACAAUCAUGCAAUUGUUUGUUCAUAUUUCAUGAAGAUUCAUUGACAGAAAAAAAAAAUGAAUUAAUUUUGGAAACUGUAUAAAAUUCCCUUCAUACUGAAAUUUUGAUUCGUGUUUCGACCUCACAGACAAUACUGGCACAUGGUAUUUGAAAUUUAUUAAUAAAUUAAUAAACAGUUAAAUU